UACAGAGGUCCCAAGCGUUGUUCGGAUUCACUGGGCGUAAAGGGUGCGUAGGCGGUCGGGUAAGUCUGAUGUGAAAUCUCACAGCUUAACUGUGAAACUGCAUUGGAUACUAUCCGGCUAGAGGAAUGGAGGGGAGACUGGAAUACUUGGUGUAGCAGUGAAAUGCGUAGAUAUCAAGUGGAACACCAGUGGCGAAGGCGAGUCUCUGGGCCGGUACCGACGCUGAGGAGCGAAAGCGUGGGGAGCGAACAGG
rnacentral:rRNA from 1 species